GCGGAGCUGCGGGGUGCGUGCAGGAUAAGAUCCCCGGGGCCUUAUCGGUCUUGAAGGGAGCUGUCCCUGGCCUUGCCCGUGGGCUUGGCCAUAUGGCGCCCACCUACUUUGUAGGUGCCCGGGACCGGAAGUCCCACGGCCAUCGCGGCCCCGCC
rnacentral:sRNA from 1 species